rnacentral:rRNA from 1 species
CUAGCCGUAAACGAUGGGUACUAGGUGUUGGGGGUGACAAUCCUCCAGUGCCGCAGUUAACGCAUUAAGUACCCCGCCUGGGGAGUACGGCCGCAAGGCUGAAACUCAAAGGAAUUGACGGGGGCCCGCACAAGCAGCGGAGCAUGUGGUUUAAUUCGAUGCAACGCGAAGAACCUUACCAGGGCUUGACAUCCUCUGAAGCUAUAAGAGAUUAUAGUGUCCCUUCGGGGCAGAGAGACAGGUGG